ACCCAGCCGAUAAGUCCCGAAAAGAACGAAACGCGUGUCCUGGAU
rnacentral:hammerhead_ribozyme from 1 species